GGGUCAGUAGGUUGGUCGUGCCACCGGUACGUACUGGUCUCACUGAUUCCUCCUUCCUGAAGAACCGUAAUGCCAUUAACUUGGUGUUGCGGGGAAACAGGACUGUUACUUUGAAAAAAUUAGAGUGUUUAAAGCAAGCUAACGCUUGAAUACAUUAGCAUGGAAUAAUGAAAUAGGACGAUCGAUCCUAUUUUGUUGGCUUCCAGGAUUGACGUA
rnacentral:rRNA from 1 species